rnacentral:misc_RNA from 1 species
AAACUACGUUAAACGGUGUGAAUUGCAGAACACGUAGAACACUGGAACUUUGAACGCACAUGGCAGGUUAGUAUUAUAACUAACCUUUGUGUGAGGGUUGUAAUCAAAGAAUCAAGGCUAGUUUUUGAAGAGCGGGGAGGUUGCCUACUGUGACAUGUCCACAUUAAAACACACCUGUGUUGCGCCUCUGGCCAGCGUCGGAGGUUAACAGCAACUGGACGAGUGUUAAGCAUUCAUUCUCACAACCUCAGGCAAGAUUACCCGCUUAAUUUAA